GGAGACGUGGCCGAGAGGCUGAAGGCACCGGUUUGCUAAACCGGCAUACGGGGUCAACCUGUAUCGAGGGUUCGAAUCCCUCCGUCUCCG
rfam:Gemmatimonadetes bacterium SCN 70-22 ABS52_C0015, whole genome shotgun sequence.